rnacentral:rRNA from 1 species
CCUACGGGUGGCAGCAGUGGGGAAUAUUGGUCAAUGGAGGGAACUCUGAACCAGCGACGCCGCGUGAGUGAAGACGUUAUUCGUAUUGUAAAGCUCUAUCAGCUGGGAAGAAAAUGACGGUACCUGAACAAGAAGCUCCGGCUAAAUACGUGCCAGCAGCCGCGGUAAUACGUAGGGAGCAAGCGUUAUCCGGAUUUACUGGGUGUAAAGGGAGAGUAGGUGGCAGAGCAAGUCCGAAGUGAAAGCCCAGGGCUCAACCGAGGAAAUGCUGUAGAAACUGGUCAUCUAGAGUGCAGGAGAGGCAGGCGGAAUUCUUGGUGUAGCGGUGAAAUGCGUAGAUAGUAGGAGGAACACCAGUGGCGAAGGCGGCUUACUGGGCUGUAACUGACGCUGAGGCUCGAAAGCGUGGGUAGCAAACAGGAUUAGAUACCCGAGUAGUC